rnacentral:rRNA from 1 species
UGGUGGCGAGCGGCGGACGGGUGAGUAAUGCCUAGGAAUCUGCCUAGUAGUGGGGGAUAACGUCCGGAAACGGGCGCUAAUACCGCAUACGUCCUACGGGAGAAAGUGGGGGAUCUUCGGACCUCACGCUAUUAGAUGAGCCUAGGUCGGAUUAGCUAGUUGGUGAGGUAAUGGCUCACCAAGGCGACGAUCCGUAACUGGUCUGAGAGGAUGAUCAGUCACACUGGAACUGAGACACGGUCCAGACUCCUACGGGAGGCAGCAGUGAGGAAUAUUGGACGAUGGGCGAACGCCUGAUCCAGCCAUGCCGCGUGUGUGAAGAAGGUCUUCGGAUUGUAAAGCACUUUAAGUUGGGAGGAAGGGCAGUUACCUAAUACGUGAUUGUUUUGACGUUACCGACAGAAUAAGCACCGGCUAACUCUGUGCCAGCAGCCGCGGUAAUACAGAGGGUGCAAGCGUUAAUCGGAAUUACUGGGCGUAAAGCGCGCGUAGGUGGUUUGUUAAGUUGGAUGUGAAAAGCCCCGGGCUCAACCUGGGAACUGCAUCCAAAAACUGGCAAGCUAGAGUAUGGUAGAGGGUGGUGGAAUUUCCUGUGUAGCGGUGAAGAUGCGUAGAUAUAGGGAAGGAACCCCAGUGGCGAAGGGCGACCACCCUGGACUGAUACUGACACUGAGGUGCCAAAACGUGGGGGAACAAACAGGAUUAGAUACCCUGGUAGUCCACGCCGUAAACAAUGUCAACUA